UCAAAAUCAAAUAAAAUCCAAACCACAUCAUAUCUUAUUUUACAGGCCAUCGACUUGCUACCCACAAAACUGGCAACACCGUACCAAGCUUCAAAUUUUAUCCCCAAAUUCAAUAAUUGGCAACACCAACCAACCAAUAUGAAAUUGAGAGAGAAUGGUGAUGAGAAAACAGCUUUCAUAAUUACGUCCGUAGAUAAUUUUGGAUUUUCUUAUUACUUUUAUUGGAUUUUGUUGUUCUCUCUCUGUGUGGAAGUUUCAAUGUAAUUAAUGGUUUUGUAGUAUUUUGAGUCAAGAUUGGUGAAUUGCCUUCUCUUUUAAUUGAUCAACUAUGAAAGAUUGUGAUAAGAUUUUGAGGUUCAUACUAUACUAGAGAGUCACUAUCAAGGGUAGACUAGAGUGUUCCAGUUCAAUACAAACAUGGUAAACAUUACUCUCUCUUUCUUUCUCUCUCUGGUUUUUUGUAUGAAAAAUAUUUAGGGUGAUGGAAUGAUGUUUCAGUUCAAGAUCUAUUUUUUACUACCAAAUCAAACCUUGAAGUUAGUUUUAGUGGCUUUUUAAUUAACUGUGAAUGAAACGGUUGAUAUACUAGUAUAUACCGGGAAUAAAGUCAGCAGAAACUAGAGAAUGGUGUUUCCAGAUCUAUAUCUAGUUUUUAUAUGUUUUAAAGUUAAGUGCAUAAGUAGUAGUAGUAAGGAUUGAGAAAUAUGUAUAUUUAAUUGAAUGUGUAGAUAGAUAGAUAUAUGAAACAAGAUGAUGUUCCAACAAUAUAUGACACAUUUUUGAGCUUCUGGACUGAAUUGGCCAAAUAAUAAUGAAACCAACCACCCAACUCUCACUCUAGUAAGAACACUUAGCUUGGAUAGCAAGUGUUUUCACUAUACCUGGGCAACCAUCUACACCAUUUCCGUUCAAAUUUGAACCACUCACACUAACCAUACAUUCUUUUUUCCCCAAGCAUUCCUUCUCAACAAUGCUCUUCGUAGGACCAGCAUUACAAUUGCCAAGACUAAACUUUCCACAGUAACCAGAAGGGUCACCGAAGCUUGCAAACUCCACAGCUACAAUCUUUUUACCGCUUGGACAUUUGAGUGAAGCUUGUGGUCCAGCAACACCUUUCACAACAGAACGGAAUUGUCCGUGUCUAGAUACCCACGAAUUCACAUUAGCAGGUUCGUUCUCUGCAAUGUGACUGCAGAUUGUAUCUCUGUCAACAUUCAAUAUCUCAAUCUUAUCUGGACACGCGUUCUCCUCUUCCAAUACAACAAGCAAAUUGUCUUUACCGUUGAUGUUGAGGUAAGAUUUUGGGAUGUGGUACUCUGCUUGAGUGGGAUGUCCAAGAGGAGAAAGGAAUGUCAUCCAGUGACGACCAAUGCUUUGACCGUUCACCCAAAUCAUUCCCUUUCCCAUACCAGUCAUCCUUAUGGCAACAGGACCCCUACCCUCCGGUGUGGCAAAUCUUGUUUUAAACCACGAGAGAGCACGUGCUUGUCCUACGGAUGGACUCCACUCCACCUUCUUUGAUCCUUCCUCGGAGAAAAUUUGAAGUUGUUCGCCUUUGAGACCAACCUGCAAAUUGAAUUGAAUUGAAUUAUAUAUUAUGCCAUUUAUAUAUUUAUAGUAACAAUGAAUGAAUGAUUUAGAUUAUUACCCGGUUACCCCAGCCGUUUUCAGAGAGAUCAAUUGUUCCGGUGUUGAGACCAAGGACGGAUAUGGACUUGGGUCCGGCAUACCUGUGUUCCAUGUAAGCUCCACUGUCCUGUAUUAUUUGAAGUGAAGGGAUUCAGCAAAAACAUUGUUGUAUGAUUAUUUGUCCUUUUAUAUCAGUAAUUAAAGCUUAAAUUUAUUUGAUUAAGGAAAACAGUGUCUUACUGGUAGCCCAACUGUGGUGGCCAAGAUGGAUACAUAGUUGGUUCCAACCUUGAAGUUUGCGGGUUGCUCAAAUUCAAAAGUUUUAUCGUCAUGUGUACCAUGACCAGUACCUAUUUCAAAUCAAAGUUAUAAUUAUACGAAUAACUUAUCAUCUCUUCUCGCUCGCAAUUUUCCUUUAGUAUUGUACUUACCAAUGUACUGUCCAUUAACGAAUGCGGAGAGUGUGUGCCCGAGACUCAUAAUACGAAGAACGGGGGCUGCCCCACUCUUCUUUGGCAAGUCUUCUGGAUCCAACUCAAAGCUGCAUAUUUUCAAAUUAAAGUUAUAAUAGAUAUGAGGAAGCAGUGAGUUGCGCGCAUAUUUUCAAAUUAAAUUAAAGUUAAAUGAAUCUUCACCUGGUGGUGUACCAUCCAUAAUCUGUGGUGUCUUUAAGUAAGACGUAAAGCUCUGCUGGAAAUUUUUGAUUUGAUGGGAGUUUAUUGGUUGAUGGAAUUGGCUCUGAAAACACCUCCCAUUUGAGGUUGUUUGCGAUGGCAGACCUCACGAAGUUCCUUGCAUUAUGUUGUGAAACAAUCUGUUCAUUCAUUAUAAUAAUGAGUAAUUAAAGCAAUUAACCAUCUGCUUAAUUUGUUAGGUAGCUUAAUGAUUGAAAUUUGUUUAUAAUAAAUAAACAAGUUAGUUAGUUAGUUAGUUAGUUACACUUUGUGUGUUGUAAACGACAGUCUUGCAAUCGGGGAGGACACUGAUGGAAUGUGGUGGCAAAAAGUAGUUAGAACCUCUGAAAUUGAUGGUGGCUGGUUCAGUAGUGUGGUUGUUAGUGAUAAAAGCAGCACAUAUAUUUGCUUCAGGUUUCUCAAACACUCUAACCUGCAUGCAUUAUAUUUUCUCAAAGUUAUUAUAAUGUAGAUGUAGAUGGAUGAAUAAUAUUGCAUAGCUUACUUAAUUAAUAAUAAUGAUUAUAAAAUGGCGAUGAUACCUCGUGGAAGGUGUUGAGCUUUUGGACGGUGGGAACACCAUGAAGAAUAGCCUUUCUGCAAAGGAGCAUAGCUGUGUGGGCGUCCCUGAGGUGGCUCCAUUUUGGUUGCCUCUCAAGACCGUAUUCGUCA
rnacentral:lncRNA from 1 species